GAUCAUGGCUCAGGAUGAACGCUAGCUACAGGCUUAACACAUGCAAGUCGAGGGGCAGCAUGACCUAGCAAUAGGUUGAUGGCGACCGGCGCACGGGUGAUUAACACGUAUCCAACCUACCGGUUAUUCUGGGAUAGCCUUUCGAAAGAAAGAUUAAUACCGGAUAGUAUAACGAGAAGGCAUCUUUUUGUUAUUAAAGAAUUUCGAUAACCGAUGGGGAUGCGUUCCAUUAGUUGUUGGUCGGGGUAACGGG
rnacentral:rRNA from 1 species